AUUUGCUUUUGGAUCCUCAUAAUUCUGUUUCCGCUUUUGGUGGUUAUCUCUCUUUGGGGGGUAACUAACACCAGGAAAAUUUCUUCCUUGUCCACGUCCACGGUCAUGACCCCGAUCACGACCACGACCACGAUUAAAGCCAUGCCUUUUCCACGCUUAGCAUAAUGGGAAUACACCUUAUCUACUUCAGGCAAUAGUGUAGACC
rnacentral:lncRNA from 1 species